CAAGGCAGGAGCAUCACUUGAGGCCAGAAGUUCAAGACCAACCUGGUCAACAUUGUAAGACCCUGUCUCUACAAAAAAAAAAAAGUUAAAAAUUAGCUGGGUGCGGUGGCACAUGCCUGUAGUUCCAGCUACUCUGGAGGCUAAGGUGGGAGGAUUGCUAGAGCCACGGUGUUGGAAGCUGCAGUGAGCUGUGACCACACCACUGCGCUCCAGCCUGGGCAACAGAGUGAGACCC
rnacentral:lncRNA from 10 species